UCCCUUCUUCCUGGGCCCUCA
rnacentral:miRNA from 1 species